GCAGAGCCCGGCCGCUCGCUCAGCUCUGCAGACAGCGCGGGCAGGAGGCCUGGGUCUUGGCCCCCGCAGCCCGGGCCAGGCGGUCACCCUCCCAGGGCGCCCACAGGUCAGGGGUCAGCUGGGCUCCCUCAGCAAAUGUCUGCCCGCCUGGUCAAGCUCUAGACCAAGGGUCACCAGGGCCGCCGAGGCCACCACAGCUCAGCUCCUGUCCCCCAGGCCCGGCCCAGCCACCAGGUUACAGUAGAAAAUCGCUGGUUCACCCAGGGAGGGUCUGCGGCCCUGUUGCCCCAGACCUCAGAGGAGAGGACCCGCAGAGCCAGUGGCACCAGAGUGCGGGCAGGGCCGCCGCCCGGAGGCCGACCAGGUCCCAGCGCAGCAGGGCUCCUCCCCGGCCUCUCCUCGGCUGCAGACGCCCUCCACCGGACCUGUCCACAUCUCCCCUGCAGUGUGAGUCUUGGGAGUUGUGACAAGGCUGGAGAGAGUUCCCGGUGCUCGGUGUCCAAGUCGCAGCCGCCUUCCCGCGUUGAGAAGUCAGGACCAGGCACGCGCUGCCAUUGGAAGAUCUGGCCCAGCCAGGUCCAGCAGGCGGGAGCUUUGAUUCCCUUUCCACGUCUCAGAGAACUUCAGAUCCUCCCUUGGCGAUUUUGGAACUGCGGUUGGGUGUGCCCGUGUGACUGCUACUGAAUGUCGACGGCCGAUGGACGAGACGCACGCCAGGAGCUUCCCAG